AGGUUAGUGUACGGAAGGUGGGGCACUGGGGCUCUUUGGAAGGCCCGGCGACCGUCCAGUGCCCGUCUGGAGCCGGCUUGGCGCGCCAUUUAAAACUGCUCUGGCUGUCUCGGCACUGAACGCUGCUGGGCAAGGCUAGGGGAGUCUGCUUUUCUGCUGAGGCCCUGCGGCGUUCUUGGAAGUCCUUGUUAGCGGUUACACUGCGAUUUAAGGAGUUCCUACGUCCUCUGAAUCAAACGUCAAGAGCAGAAAGAAAAAAAAUAAGAUGUGCAUUUAAUGUGUUUGGUUAUUAGCUGCUCCUAGAGCUUUUCAUAUGGAUAUAUGUCAAGUGGUUAGCCUUGCCUGUCAUGGACUUGAGGAAACAAAGUAUGUAUGUAUAUACAUGUAAAUGCUGUCUUUAGACCUAAUAUCUGAUUGUUCUUGUUUAAAGAAUUGGAGUUACUCUACAAUGGAAGCUAAAAUGUGGAUCAGUAGUAUUACAUGCGUAGAAUACAUGAUUUGUGUACAUGUAUAGUUAUCCUUAAAUAACAUCCUUGGUGUCCUCUUCACAUCUUGCCACACAGCUAUUAGAUAGCUACAUAGUGCUUGGAAUACUAAUGCCAUUAUAUAACAAGUUUAGUUUUUUCAAGUAUGUAAUCGGUUUAACUUAACACUGUACAUACACACACACAAGUAUGUCAGUUCGAUAACAAGAGUAAAAUAUAUUUUUAAAUUUCUUUAACAGUAUUCAUUGACAAUAUAUGCAUCAGGCUUUCAGCUAAUCUAUAUUAUAUAAAGAUGAUUUAUAGAUUGAAGGUUGGAUCUGUUGUUUUAUAGCUAACAAACAUCACUUCAGAGUAACUGCCUGAAAUGAAAUUUAUUUGUUGGGAGGUAAUGUCUGAAAGGGGAUAAAAGGAUACUUUGAGUAUAUAAUUAAAGAAAUGGAAAAUGAACAUUAAUAUUGAUACAAUCUAUUGACCAGUAAACUGAUCCCCUGUAGCCUUGUUUUAAAUCCAGUUUUAAACUUGGCACAUUUUUCCAGAGACUAAAACCUUGAAUCUGUUUGACACAAACAAGGGAUAACUUUAAAGCAUUUGAUUCUUUGUGUGUGUUUGGGGUCGGGGGUAUGGAUUGUUGAUGUUUGUGAGACAGGGUUUCACUACAUAGCCUCUGUCUUUCCUACAACUCAUUGUACAAAACAAGGUGACCUGGAAAUGGUAGUGGCCCCCCCGCCUGUGGCUCUUGUGUGUGUGGUUAUUGGGGUGCACUGUCAGACUCUCUACUCAUUAUUUUUUUUCUCGAAAAUAAACUGGACAGAUUAAAAAUGGGAAAAAAUCUUAGCAGUACACAUGGGAGAGACCCAGGCGCUUUCAUUAGCAAGAUGAAGGGCUAGUAAGACUGCUUAAUCUUUUUCUUUUUUAAAUAAAGGACUAGCAAAGAUGGAUCAGCAAAGUAAGCCCUGUAAGGUUCCCCAUUUGUCCUGCCAUAUGUAAAUAGUUCUAAGGUAUAUAUGUGUUCCAUUUACCAAAAGCCAGCCAACAGAAGUAAACGCACCAGUUAGAGAGCUGUUUGAGAAGUGUAUUUCCAAGAAUGAUACUUGAUCCAAACUUAUCUUUAAAGGAGCGCGGCCUUCUGAAACUCCACAUGCUGGAAAUGAUGGUGCUUUGUUGCCAGUCGCUUGCCCUUCCUGGGGACGAUUGCUCAAUGGUGAUCUGGUCAUAAACAGCGCAGCACUGUGGACAUCCUUCCCUCUUGGCUGCCUACGCUGACGACUGAUGAGGGUUUUACCUCUGCUUCCCAAAGCCUGGGGUUGCAGGUGCCUAAGACCUUGCCAAAAUUAUUAGAAAUAAUUUGGUAAAGAGGAAAGAAAGAAACAAAAACACACAUACAUUUCUUUUCCCCUACUCAUCUGGUCAAAGUAAAAGACAUGAAAUUCCUGAAACAUUGUUAAAACAAGAAAGAAAUCUCAGGGGAAAAGCUGAAAGUGAUGUAUUUAAAUCUAAAUGUUAAUUGCUACUGUUUAGGAUAAUCCCAUGGUGCCAACAUGAAGAUAUUUUUUUGAUGAAUCUCUGUCUUUUGUUUCACUGAAAUUGUUAUUUCAUUCUGUAUUUUGGAAAGUAUGAUUGGGUAAAAAGGUAAAAAUUUUGAUGCAACUUUAAAACUUAAAAUCUCAUACUUGAAGCUUAUUUUAAUUUUCCUAUCAAAUGCAGUGGGUUAAAGUUAAAAUGUGAAAAUAUGUGUGAUUUUCCAAAAAUAUUUUUUAAAGUAUAAUUCACACUUUGUGUACUUUGUUUUAGCUUGCAGACAAAAGGCAUCACUUUCUUUCCUUAACCGAUCAGAACUUCCAAACCUGGCUUAUAAGAGGUUAAAAGGCAAAACCCCAGGAAUUAUCUUCAUCCCUGGCUAUCUUUCUAACAUGAAUGGUAUAAAGGCAGUAGCAGUUGAGGAGUUUUGCAAAUCUCUAGGUCACGCCUUUAUAAGGUAGGAACAAUAUAUUUCAGAUAAUAUAUUACCAUUUAGUAUUGUAAUGGAGCCAACUAAAGUCAAUGCCAGCAUUUUAGUAGAUGGAGUUAUUUCAAUAGUGUGCAGACUUUGGUCUCAUGAUUUAGGGUCUAUAGGGUAUUUGUGCUGUGCUGGCUAGAUGGGCAGCAGAGGGUGUCAUCCGGGGGCUCGUCACUUAGUUGUUUAGAUACAAUGAUCUGUGUGGCAAAGAAAGUAUACCUGUUGGGUUUCCUAUCAUACCUUGUGAUUAUGGGUUUUGCACUAAAGACAUAAAGAACUCAUGUGGCCGCUGUUUAUUACUCUCUACCACGGGUGUUUGAAGCUGAGAGUAUAAUAUAGCAUACCUCAGGGGUAGAGCAUUUGUUUAGCACAAAAAUCCCGGAAUCAGUCCCUAGCACAACCCACAAAAGACAAGGUUUUUCAGUGUAAUAUAAUAUUGUAAGAUUAAUAUUGUAUAAUUUACAUUUCCGUUUUCUUUGUUCUUUUUUUAUUAUCUGACUGUGUGUGGUUAUAAACAAGGAUAUUAUAUUUGUACCUUUUCACUCAUUUUAAUAAAAAUGUAUUGAUG
rnacentral:lncRNA from 1 species